GGUGGCUCAGUGGUUAGAGUACCAGAUUCACAAUUAUUGGGGUAUGGGUUUGAAUCCUAUAAAUGGACCA